UGGUGGAGCGACUUGUUUGGUCAAUUCCGAUAACGAACGAGACUCUAGCCUACUAAAUAGUUCGGGGACCCCCACAAAGGGGCCCCGCUUCAACUUCUUAGAGGGACAGGUGGCGUUUAGCCACACGAGAUUGAGCAAUAACA
rnacentral:rRNA from 1 species